rnacentral:lncRNA from 1 species
CAGGUAGACUUCAGUCGAGCUACUUCUCCGGCAGAUGGGUUCCGGACGAGCUCCAGCAGCUGGGUCCUUGCGAUAGUCGAUUGCCUUCGAUGUUUGCCGAGCCUCCCCAGCGCUAUCCGAAGUCCAUCGCCGGCCGACCUCCUAUCAGGCUUCCCAUAAAAUCGGACUUCUCCGACGGACGAUCUUCGGAUGAGCUUCCACAUCAGAUAAAUCCCAGACGGACUUCUCUAGCGAUCGAACUUCCCC